rnacentral:tRNA from 1 species
GGGGACUUAGCUCAGCGGCAUAAGCGCCUGCCUUGCAAGCAGGCAGUUGUAAGUUCAAUCCCCA